AUACGGAAGGUCCGGGCGUUAUCCGGAUUUAUUGGGUUUAAAGGGAGCGCAGGCGGAGAUGCAAGCGUGACGUCAAAUUUCGGGGCUCAACCCCGUCUCGCGUCGCGAACUGCGUCCCUUGGUUGCGGGAAGGGGAGGCGGAACUCGUGGUGUAGCGGUGAAAUGCAUAGAUAUCACGAAGAACUCCGAUCGCGAAGGCAGCCUUCCGGCCCGUCAACGACGCUCAUGCUCGAAGGUGCGGGUAUCAAACAGGAUUAGAUACCCUGGUAGUCCGCACAGUAAACGAUGGACACCCGCGGUUUGGCCUGUAUGGCUGAGCCGCCAAGCGAAAGCGUUAAGUGUCCCACCUGGGGAGUACGCCGGCAACGGUGAAACUUAAAUGAAUUGACGGGG
rnacentral:rRNA from 1 species